UCAGAUCUUAACAUGGCAUUUUAAUUUUAAAAAUUUUUGUUAGGUUGGCCCUUCCAGAAGAGAAGCAAAUCAGAUCAAGGAGAGAGAUCAAAUCAGAUCAAGGAGG